UACGUAGGGUGCGAGCGUUAAUCGGAAUUACUGGGCGUAAAGCGUGCGCAGGCGGUUGUGCAAGACAGAUGUGAAAUCCCCGGGCUUAACCUAGGAAUUGCAUUUGUGACUGCACGGCUAGAGUGUGUCAGAGGGGGGUAGAAUUCCACGUGUAGCAGUGAAAUGCGUAGAUAUGUGGAGGAAUACCGAUGGCGAAGGCAGCCCCCUGGGAUAACACUGACGCUCAUGCACGAAGCGUGGGGAGCAAACAGG
rnacentral:rRNA from 1 species